AUGGCAUCUGUUGCAGGUGAUUCACAACCAAGCGUGGUGGCUCAGGUGGUCAACCUGCCCUUGGUGAGCUCCACGUAUGACCUCAUGUCCUCAGCCUACGUCAGCACAAAGGACCAGUAUCCUUACUUGAAGUCUGUGUGUGAGAUGGCAGAGAAGGGUGUGAAGACCAACACCUUGGUGGCCAUGAUGCUCAGUGCAUCUUCCAGAAGCUAGAGCCGCAAAUUCCAGUUGCUGAUACCUAUUCCCAUAGCGGGCUAGACAGGACUGAGGUUGUUGCCAAUGCCCAGGGUGCUCUGACUCAGGCCAAAGAUGCUGUGACGACUACUGCGACUGGGCCCAAGGAUUCCGUGGUCAGCACGGUCACAGGGGUGACAGACAAGAGCAAAGGGAGGGUGAUUGGUAGUGUAGAGAAGACCAAGUCUGUGGUCAGCGGCAGCAUUAACGCAGUCCUGGGGAGUCGGCUGAUGCAGCUCGUGAGCAGUGGUGUGGAAAAUGCACUCACCAAAUCAGAGUUGUUGGUGGAGCAGUACCUCCCUCUCACUGAGGAAGAGCUAGAAAAAGCAGCAAGAAAAAAAAGAAAAAAAGAAAAAAGAAGAGUUGAAGGAUUCGGUAUGGUUCAGAAGCUAAGCUGUUAUGUUAGACUGGGAUCCCUGUCUACCAAGCUUCAUUCCCGCUCCUGCCAGCAGGCUCUCAACAGGGUUAAAGAAGCUAAGCAAAAAAGCCAAGAGACCAUUUCUCAUCGCCAUUCUACUGUUCACCUGAUUGAAUUUGCCAGGAAGAACGUGCAUCGUGCCAAUCAGAACAUUCAAGACGCUCAGGAUAAGCUCUGCUUCACCUGGGGGGAGUGGAGAAGGAGCACUGGAUACGAUGAUACAGAUGAGUCCACUGUGCUGAGCACAUCGAGUCACAAACUCUUGCUAUUGCCCAGAACCUGACUCAACAGCUCCAGGCCACGUGCCACACCCUCCUGUCCAACAUCCAAGGCUUACCGAAGAACAUCCAAGAUCAGGCCCUGCAAUGGGGGUGAUGGCAGGUGACAUCUACUCUGUGUUCCGCAAUGCUACCUCCUUUAAGGAGUGUCUGACAGCCUCCUCACUUCCAGCAAGGGGCAGCUGCAGAAAAUGAAGAAAUCUUUAGAUGACGUGUGGAUUAUCUUGUUAACAACACACCCCUCAACUGGCUGGUACGUCCCUUUUAUCCUCAGCUGACUGAGUCUCAGAAUGCUCAGGACCAAGGUGCAGAGAUGGACAAGAGCAGCCAGGAGGCCCAGCCAUCUGAGUACAAAACUCAUUAAACCUGCCCCUAUCACAAGUGCGUGAUGUAGCCAGCUAGAUGACACCUUUUGUUAUGUUGAAAUUUACCUGCUAGGCAACCCUAAAUUGGGAAACAAGUAGCUAAUAAGAAGGCCCUCAAUUAUAAAUAUUUCCAGCUGAAUUAAGGGUUUUAAUGUUUCUGGCAUUAGCAGAUGAUUUCUGUUCACCUGGUAAGAAAAGAGUGCUAGGCUUGUCAGAGCCUAGCCAGAACUCACAAAAAAUUCAAGUGCACUUACGUUCUCAUUCUGUGUCCAUUGUGUUGCCUCUGCCACUGUUUGUAAUGAAUAAAAACAUCUUCAUGUGGGCUGGGGUAGAAACUAGUGUCUCCUCUGGUGUGAUCUGA